rnacentral:rRNA from 1 species
UACGUAGGGAGCAAGCGUUGUUCGGAAUUACUGGGCGUAAAGGGCUCGUAGGCGGCCAACUAAGUCGGAUGUGAAAUCCCCAGGCUUAACCUGGGAACUGCAUCCGAUACUGGAUGGCUUGAAUCCGGGAGAGGGAUGCGGAAUUCCAGGUGUAGCGGUGAAAUGCGUAGAGAUCGGGAGGAAGGCCGGUGGCGAAGGCGGCGCUCUGGAACGGCCCUGACACUGAGGCUCGAAAGCGUGGGGAGCAAACAGG